rnacentral:rRNA from 1 species
UGAACAUUGGGUAGGGGAGCGUUCUGUAAGCCGUUGAAGGUGUGUUGUAAAGCAUGCUGGAGGUAUCAGAAGUGCGAAUGCUGACAUGAGUAACGACAAGGGGGGUGAAAAACCUCCCCGCCGGAAGACCAAGGGUUCCUGUCCAACGUUAAUCGGGGCAGGGUAAGUCGACCCCUAAGGCGAGGCUGAAAAGCGUAGUCGAUGGGAAACGGGUUAAUAUUCCCGUACUUCUUACAAUUGCGAUGGGGGGACGGAGAAGGCUAGGUGGGCCUGGCGACGGUUGUCCAGGUUCAAGUGCGUAGGCUGAGUGUUUAGGUAAAUCCGGAUACUCUUAAGGCUGAGACACGACGUCGAGCUACUACGGUAGUGAAGUCAUUGAUGCCAUGCUUCCAGGAAAAGCCUCUAAGCUUCAGAUUGUAAGGAAUCGUACCCCAAACCGACACAGGUGGUCGGGUAGAGAAUACCAAGGCGCUUGAGAGAACUCGGGUGAAGGAACUAGGCAAAAUGGUACCGUAACUUCGGGAGAAGGUACGCUCUUGAUGGUGAAGUCCCUUGCGGAUGGAGCUGACGAGAGUCGCAGAUACCAGGUGGCUGCAACUGUUUAUUAAAAACACAGCACUGUGCAAAAUCGUAAGAUGACGUAUACGGUGUGACGCCUGCCCGGUGCCGGAAGGUUAAUUGAUGGGGUUAGCG